UGUUACAUGUUUUAGUAUUUGUUGCUCUACUCGGACAACUAAAAAUGAUUGAAAGCAGUUGUGGAUAUGAACAUAUAAAUCAAAAUAUCAGGAUUCAUGCAGGAAGAAAGAAUACCUGAAUGACAUAUUUACUGAUCAAUUUAAUGAUGGCGAACUCAAGUCGGAAGUGUUUCUAGAGAAGCUAGUGUCUACUUGCAGCAAUUACGCUGAAUACUCCAAAUGUGGCAAUUGUACUGCCAAACACGUGUGUCAUGAGGAACAAGAUAGAUUAAAGGAAAUCCUGGUUGAAAGAUGGUCAAUCUACUGUGACGAUGACCAGCCAUCAAGUUGGCUAA